rnacentral:rRNA from 1 species
GAUGAACGCUGGCGGCGUGCCUAAUACAUGCAAGUCGAGCGAACAGACGAGGAGCUUGCUCCUCUGACGUUAGCGGCGGACGGGUGAGUAACACGUGGAUAACCUACCUAUAAGACUGGGAUAACUUCGGGAAACCGGAGCUAAUACCGGAUAAUAUAUUGAACCGCAUGGUUCAAUAGUGAAAGACGGUUUUGCUGUCACUUAUAGAUGGAUCCACGCCGCAUUAGCUAGUUGGUAAGGUAACGGCUUACCAAGGCAACGAUGCGUAGCCGACCUGAGAGGAGGAGCGGCCACACUGGAACUUAGACACGGACCAGACGCCGACGGGCGGAAGCAGUAGGGAAGAUUGCGGAAUGGGCGCAAGGCGGAUGGAGCAACGCCGAGUGAGGGAAGAAGGUCUUCGGAUCGGAAAACUCUUGUAGUAGGGAAGAAAAAAUGUGUCAGGAAACAUGGGCGGCAUGACGGGAACUAAUCAGAAAGAAACGGCUAACUACGUG